rnacentral:rRNA from 1 species
AACGGACGAGAAGCUUGCUUCUCUGAUGUUAGCGGCGGACGGGUGAGUAACACGUGGAUAACCUACCUAUAAGACUGGGAUAACUUCGGGAAACCGGAGCUAAUACCGGAUAAUAUUUUGAACCGCAUGGUUCAAAAGUGAAAGACGGUCUUGCUGUCACUUAUAGAUGGAUCCGCGCUGCAUUAGCUAGUUGGUAAGGUAACGGCUUACCAAGGCAACGAUGCAUAGCCGACCUGAGAGGGUGAUCGGCCACACUGGAACUGAGACACGGUCCAGACUCCUACGGGAGGCAGCAGUAGGGAAUCUUCCGCAAUGGGCGAAAGCCUGACGGAGCAACGCCGCGUGAGUGAUGAAGGUCUUCGGAUCGUAAAACUCUGUUAUUAGGGAAGAACAUAUGUGUAAGUAACUGUGCACAUCUUGACGGUACCUAAUCAGAAAGCCACGGCUAACUACGUGCCAGCAGCCGCGGUAAUACGUAGGUGGCAAGCGUUAUCCGGAAUUAUUGGGCGUAAAGCGCGCGUAGGCGGUUUUUUAAGUCUGAUGUGAAAGCCCACGGCUCAACCGUGGAGGGUCAUUGGAAACUGGAAAACUUGAGUGCAGAAGAGGAAAGUGGAAUUCCAUGUGUAGCGGUGAAAUGCGCAGAGAUAUGGAGGAACACCAGUGGCGAAGGCGACUUUCUGGUCUGUAACUGACGCUGAUGUGCGAAAGCGUGGGGAUCAAACAGGAUUAGAUACCCUGGUAGUCCACGCCGUAAACGAUGAGUGCUAAGUGUUAGGGGGUUUCCGCCCCUUAGUGCUGCAGCUAACGCAUUAAGCACUCCGCCUGGGGAGUACGACCGCAAGGUUGAAACUCAAAGGAAUUGACGGGGACCCGCACAAGCGGUGGAGCAUGUGGUUUAAUUCGAAGCAACGCGA